AGCGAUCUGUUGCCAUUUUGGCUUUGUAACUAUUUUCAAACGACGAAAAGAAAAUUCGGUUGAAAAUUGUUAGCCAAAAAUAUGCCCAUAUUCAAUGAAUACUAUGGUGCAUCCAGUGCACUGGAUAAAUAAUUCAUGAACAUAAUUGUCCAAAAUUGUCCUGUGUUUAACAUUCAAACGCCUGUGUUGAACCAAUAACGAAAAAAACCAUACGUUUUUAUGCAAAUUUUAACUCCAUUCAAGACCUAAAGUCACUUUAAUACUUGUUUCAUGAAAUAUUCAUGGAACGAAUGAUGAUUCUUUGGAUAGUUUCGCAAACAGAUUUAAAUAAAUACUAGGUGACUCCAUCGAAUGACAUGGAAAGCUUUUAAGUAAACUUUUUGAAGGUCAGAUGAUGGAGCAGCUACGAAAAAGGGGCAGUAUUUGAAGGCUUCAAUUUAAACACGGUGCAGUUGCGACAUUUUCCACUGAAAUAAUGAGUGUUCAGGCAUAAAGUACACAAAAUGUCAAUUCUUCUUAUUAAUUUUGCAAAUAAUGGAACCAAUCCGGGUUUUUCCAUUGAAAAUAAAUAUAGAAGGAUUGCGCAUGUAUUCAAUGUAAAAACGUGUGUUUUUGAUGGUGCUUCCAUUGCAAAUAUUGCGUAGAAAAACAGAUGCUAUUUGUCAUUCACUGAGCAUUUGAGAUACUGACUCAUUUGUAAAGCGAACCUUGUGCGCAGAUGAUCUUACGUGGAGUUUGUCAUGAAAUAAAAAAAAUUCGAAUGUUUAAAUGUAUAAAAAUAUGAAUACCUUGAUACAGGCGACCAUUAAGAGACUUUCAAUCAAAGAAUAAACGUUUUCCUUCUCUUCCCGAGAUGAAUUUCAAAGUGAUUUUAUCGAUCGCGCUGAUUAUUAGCCUAACCAAAAGUGAAACAAACUGGGACAAUUCUCCGUGUGAAAUAAAUGAUAUUGGGAAUUGGCAGCAAUACGUGGAAAUAAUACGAAGCUCCAUUGAUAAAGGUCCAAUAUCAAGGAAAAAUAUUAAAAAAUUGGAGAUAUCAAAGAAUAAAGCAAAAGUGUGCAUUGAUUUGUGCUUUGAAAAUAACGGAAUAAAGGAAUAUUGCACCUUGAACCACUUUCAACUUGGCAAUGUACAUAGUCAUUCACAUUCCUGUAGCUGGUCCUACAAUAAUUAAAGCGGACUCAGAAUGAUUACAUGGGCACAAACACAUCCUGAGAUGGAGAGUCAACUAAACGAAGGAGAAAAUCUUUUUGAAAAUAUUAAAUGUUUUAAAUAUGUGUAUUUUAAUAAUAGUUGUAUUUUCAUUUGGAUUGUUGAAUAAAGUAAGAGUAAUUGAUGCUUGAAUUAUAGCAGUUUCUGAG